rnacentral:rRNA from 1 species
GAGUUUGAUCGUGGCUCAGAUUGAACGCUGGCGGCAGGCCUAACACAUGCAAGUCGAGCGGUAACAGGACUAGCUUGCUAGUUGCUGACGAGCGGCGGACGGGUGCGUAACACGUAGGAAUCUGCCCGGUAGUGGGGGAUAGCCCGGAGAAAUCCGGAUUAAUACCGCAUACGCCCUAAGGGGGAAGAUGGCCUCUUCUUGAAAGCUAUCACUAUCGGAUGAGCCUGCGUCGGAUUAGCUAGUUGGUGAGGUAAAGGCUUACCAAGGCGACGAUCCGUAGCUGGUCUGAGAGGAUGAUCAGCCACACUGGGACUGAGACACGGCCCAGACUCCUACGGGAGGCAGCAGUGGGGAAUAUUGCACAAUGGGACGCAAGCCUGAUGCAGCCAUGCCGCGUGUGUG